AGGGGGCCCGACGGCCCAGGCGGAGGGCGUGGCUGCCGCUCAGGAUACCGCCCCUGUCGCCUCAGCCCCAGAGAGAGAGAGAGAGAGAGAGAGAGGGCCCCGGCGGCCGGCAGGGACUAUUCCGUUCCAUCAUGGCUCCUCAGUGAAGAAGGAGAGUGGCCUCCGCGGAGGCAGAGGGAGCACACACACUCCUGUAGGCUUUUCGUUGAAGACUGUGUGUGUGUUCAUAAUAUAUAUACAUAUACAGUAUAUUCCUUCCAGUAGACCUUUCAUUGAAGAAAGCGUGUUUUCUCAAGGAGUUGUUGAGUAGGAGUCAAUUCAGAUAAAUAAAGAGAUGACUUGAUGCAAGCUCAGAACCCACUCUGCCAUCUUUCUUGGGAUCUUAAUAUUGUCCUUCAGAGCCACCACUGCUCAGCAGCUAGUUCAGUUACAUGAGUUAUAUUGAAAGUGCUAAAGUGCUUUAGCAGUAUUGCACCAAUUAAAAUUAGAAUCAUUUUGUUUUGGUGCAAACAGUCCCCUCUCCCUCACAUGUUUUCUGUUGAAUCUAUGUCCUGCAAACAAUAUCUGCGCUUACUGAUGGCAGCCAUCUUAACUAAAUACGGAAUAAUAGUGUACAAAUGGACAGCCAAGUAAAGAUACAUUUCAUUUCAGGAAAUACAGGGUUAAUUUAAGAUGACCUGGGAAGUAGGAAUGAAAAGUCCUUGAUAAUGCUGGAUGUUCUCAGAAAAUACUCUGGAAUGAAGAAGACCAUGCAGAUCUCCAAAAUUAAAUUUAUUUGGACAGAAACAAAACCUGGGAUUUUCUGAUGUUUUUGUUCUUAUCUGAGGGGACUCUCCAAUGCCCACGUUGUUCCUUGUCCUGCCCUUCACCCUUCAUUACCUGUUCCUGGCACUUCUCCUCCCCCCAGGAUAAGUUCCACAGAUGUACUGCAACUAAACUCUCUAGGAACAUCCUAGCAUUUAUCUCACAUCACCAUUACCACAAUCUCUGGUCUAGAUUUUUUAAAGAAGCUGUUGGAGAGGAUGCAGAAAAACUUUAAUUUGCCCAAUACUGCAAAAGAGUAGAGUCAGUACUCACAAAGAUACAUGAGAACUGGAUAAUUCUGUAUAAAUUGACAAUGCUUUGUAAACAGUUUUAUAAUACUGAUGUUUCACUUAAAGUCCCUGAAUGGUAUUGGAGGAAAAUUAUUAAUUGAUAUAGAUGAGACUGAGGGUAAUUCUGAUAUGUGUCCUAUUCUAUUGUUUUUCUGGCUGUACAAGAUCAGGGUGUCAACAUAACACAUAGAUGUUAAUCAAUUCUAAGUAAAUGGAUAAUAUCUAUUUUGUGAAACAUUGAAGGUCAUUGGUUAAAUGUCCACUUUAAUUAGAGAGAAGUGGAUUUAGUGCAAAAAAAGUAUUGAAAAAUUCCACAGAAAACUACUCGUAUUUUUUCAUCCCCAGUAGCAGAACAAGAGAACUAGCAUGGUGUAAUGGUUUGAAUGCUGGACUACAACUCUGGAGAAGAUGGUUUGAUUCCCAGCUUGGCCAUAAAACCUACUGGGUGACCUUG